rnacentral:snoRNA from 1 species
UGUUCUGAUGAUACUGGUAAUAGGAAGUGCCGUCAGAAACGAUAACUGACGAGAUUUAUACUCAUCUGACU